GAGAGACAGUCGAGGAGAUCACAGACGCGCGCACAGCCAGGGAAUGGGGAGCUGAAAUCACAACUCGCACACAAACAAAGCCACGUUACUGCUGCAAGGAGCGGCUGGCGGAUGGACGUGCUGGUGCCGUACCGGGGAGCCCGGGCAGCGACUGAGGAGGUGCUGGCCCGUGUGUGAAGGAAUUAUCUGCCGCAGAGGAGAAGCGGAUCCCGAUCUUCCAGGCGCCGCUGUAUGGGAACACAGGAUGAUCGGUGACAUGCGGUAACGAGGAUCAGCAGAGACCUGUAGCCCCCAACACGUCAAUGACCCUAAGAUCGCCCGACAGCGCUGACAGCACCGGUACCAUAGACAACGGGACCCGGGACACUCAGGGAAACGCCAAGGACGAGCACAUCGCCAUGUCCCUGGGAGAGCUCCGCAGGUCAGGUUGGUACUGGGGCCAUAUGACAGUCAACGAGGCCAAAGAAAAACUGCAGGAUGCUCCUGAAGGCACUUUUCUGGUUAGAGACAGUUCACAUACAGAUUACCUCUUGACUAUCUCUGUGAAGACCUCAGCAGGACCAACAAACCUGCGAAUUGAAUAUAGGGAGGGGAAGUUCAGGUUGGACUCUGUUGUAUGUGUACGCUCCAGACUAAAGCAAUUUGAUAGCGUCGUCCAUCUUAUUGAGUAUUAUGUUCUAUUGUCCAAGAACAAGAAAAUCGAGACUGAGACUCUUCCGAACAGGACAGUGCACCUUUGGCUUGUUAAGCCACUUUACACAUCUACCCCAUCCUUGCAGCAUUUGUGUAGAAUGGCUGUCAACAAAUGCACAAACAAGAUCCAUGAACUCCCAUUACCCAUGAGAUUGAAGGAAUACAUAACAGAAUACCGUUAUCACGUAUAGAUAUUUCUUAAUUGCCUUCACCAUGGGAAAUGAAACUUCAAGAAACUUCCAAAUCCAGACAAAUAAGUUAAAAUCUGUUCUCAAUUCCAAGAAGUUUAUAUUGCGUCAUUUCAUUUCAAAGUGAUUGUCAUAGGACUAUUCAGGUCUUAAAGAAUGCAUCAUUUUUGGGACUUACUGGAAGACAAUCCUAUUGAAACAACUGUUAUAGAGCGUCUAGAAACAGAACUCACAUGACUGUCACAAAGCUGACUGCGGAGAAGGGCGAAAUCAGUUUGGUAGCAAACCAUGUCAUGCUCCACAUCACAUGUCCUGCCAGCCUACAGUCAACGACAUCCCAUGCCUGAUCAAUAAACGUUAAGAGUACUCUUCUGUCAGGCUCAACACCCAACUGAAAUGAGGUUUUCAAGGAUACACAAUACAGUAUAUUGCUUCUGCAAUCUUGGCCCAGCGUAAUAUGUACACAUAUGAUCUCUGUUUGCUAACCAUUAUCAGACAGAAAUGUGUGCUGUUACCACGUGCUAUAAUGGUGUCCAAUGCCUUUCUACUAAUUGCAGUGUAUUGGGAACAAAUGUUGCCAGUGUUUGUCAGUCUCUCGAAUACAGAAAUGUUGGUACUGGGUCUUCUAAGCUUUUCCAGUAUUAGAAAUGCACAUGGGGUAAGAAAUGAAGAACCUGUACCAUACUUGUAGUGAUGCAGUGUGACUUCCUAGGAAAUUAUGGAAUGUCCACAAAGGAUGCUUGAAAGCAUUUGGUUAAGUCAUUGCAUUCACUGUCUUACAACUUGGGAAAACAAGUGCUAGCCACGCUUCUAAUAUGAGAAAAGUGUCUAUGUUGUGUGAAAGAAACACUUUCCAAAUAAUUCAUCAGUGAAAAUGCUCUCCUACUUCCGUGAGACCUUUUGUGUGGUGUUGUAUCUUGAAAAAGAUGUGGUCCAGUUUUACCCCCCUAAUGACCAAUCAUAAUGUAGCUUUUAUUUUCUAAGAAAAGUUUGGAAAAGAAACCACUUAAAGGUGUCAUCCCAUCUCACCAUUUCCACAGUGAAAUGGAGCUAAGCACCGGUUCUAAGUAGCCAGGCUUAGGGCUCAUGCA